rnacentral:lncRNA from 1 species
GAACUUUGUUUCUCAACUUAGGUGUAAACAAAAUUCUCCUUUCCAUGAUUACUCAACAAGAUAGAUUGCAAGCUUUAUCAGUUCCAGACUGUGCAGCUUUUAUAUAUCAAGUCUUUACCGUUGUCCAGAGUGAAAAAUUCUUAAUUGAAUUAACCCAUAGUAAGUCUUCCAGUUUUUAUUGAAUUGGAGAUGCAUAAAUAGAUUUGCAUUUUUCUUGUACAAAUUGCGUUCCAC